rnacentral:lncRNA from 1 species
GUGUGCGACAGCACCUGCUCCGGACGUCAGGCUCUCUAAGGACGACGUGGUUCUUCCUUGUGAGGUUGAGGCGCCCGAGAGGCGAUCAGAGCUCAGAGCCGAUUCAUUCCUGCUUGACUUUGGGUCGGUGCCUCGUGAGCGAGCUCAUUUCCCGGGGUUGCGGGUCCUUGCCUGGGGACACGCGAGUUGGAGAGCGCGUGCACCGGUCGUUCCCUUCCCGUGCUGCCCGCGUCCGGAUCGUCGGGACCCGGUUGUCUCUAGUAUGUGGAAAGGCUCGGGCUGGGAACUUCGAGGGAGGAGUUACCCCCUCGAGAUCCGGAGGACCAGAGCGGAGAGCAGGGCCACUGAGACCCUACAGGAUAUGACUCCGAGGAUCGCGUGCUGGACACGAGUGGCUACCGAGCCCGGAGAGCUUCGCGCUGCCUCCUCCUGGUCCCUUUCCAGAGGACUCUUUUCAGUCGGGGAUGCUUAUUAAAGCUCUGGCGGGAAAGAGAGAAUCACAAUUAAAGAAAUUAGUCCUACUCUGCAACGUCGGACACUUUAAUAGUAACUGGGGAGCGAUUGCGUUCAGGGAGAUCGAGGACAAGUAUCCUGGCCAGAUCCUGACAUGUUUUCCCGUUUAACCUUUUAAGCUGGUGGAGGAAGUUCAGACCACACCUGAACUGGUACCUGAGAUGACAGCACUGAAUCUGAAGACAAAGAAGGAUCAAAUUAGAACUGACUAUUAUUAGUCACUACUUCAGAAAGUCUUUUUACCUUAUUUUGGUAUGUUUAGUUAUUACUAUGAUUUGUAUGACUUUUACAUGUGUUUGAAAAGUAACAGAAGCUAAAGGCCAUUGUACAACUGGGUAACAGUCCCGUUUUCGUUCUCUUGCAUUUGGUUUGCCAUUCUGUAGCUGUGACUCCAGCUUGCUUUAGUUGAGCCUUGUCAUUCUUCACUCUCUGCAAACCAUUCCACGGAUUUGUUUUUCUUCACAAAAUUAGUUUCAUUUUCUUUGUUUGAUUGAUGGUCAUUGGCUACUGAAAUAAAAUAUGCAUUUUAAGGUAAAUUGUAUGUAUUUUUUAAGAUAAAACUUUGUGUAUUUUAAAAUA